rnacentral:tRNA from 1 species
AGUUCUGGUGACUCUCGCGGACUUCAAAUCCGUUGGUGGGUGAGAUCCGCCCACGGUGGGUUCGAUUCCCACAUGCCCC